CUUAGGUGGGUUCGUGCGCCUUCUACCUCGCUGUUUCGGUUUUCCUGGCUCCUCGGCCCUUUUCUCCCCUGUUGCAGCUGGGAGCGGACGAAGCGCGAAGCUGGGUUUUUUACUGUCUCCUGAAGAAUUUAACACAAACAUGGAUAUCAGACCAAAUCAUACAAUUUAUAUCAACAAUAUGAAUGACAAAAUUAAAAAGGAAGAUUGAAGAGAUCCCUAUAUGCCCUGUUUUCUCAGUUUGGUCAUGUGGUGGACAUUGUGGCUUUAAAGACCAUGAAGAUGAGGGGGCAGGCCUUUGUCAUAUUUAAGGAACUGGGCUCAUCCACAAAUGCCUUGAGACAGCUACAAGGAUUUCCAUUUUAUGGUAAACCAAUGGAAUACAGUAUGCAAAAACAGAUUCGGAUAUAAUAUCAAAAAUGCGUGGAACUUUUGCUGACAAAGAAAAGAAAAAAGAAAAGAAAAAAG
rnacentral:lncRNA from 10 species